CCUACGGGCUGCAGCAGUGGGGAAUAUUGCACAAUGGGCGCAAGCCUGAUGCAGCCAUGCCGCGUGUAUGAAGAAGGCCUUCGGGUUGUAAAGUACUUUCAGCGGGGAGGAAGGCGGUGAGGUUAAUAACCUCACCGAUUGACGUUACCCGCAGAAGAAGCACCGGCUAACUCCGUGCCAGCAGCCGCGGUAAUACGGAGGGUGCAAGCGUUAAUCGGAAUUACUGGGCGUAAAGCGCACGCAGGCGGUCUGUCAAGUCGGAUGUGAAAUCCCCGGGCUCAACCUGGGAACUGCAUUCGAAACUGGCAGGCUAGAGUCUUGUAGAGGGGGGUAGAAUUCCAGGUGUAGCGGUGAAAUGCGUAGAGAUCUGGAGGAAUACCGGUGGCGAAGGCGGCCCCCUGGACAAGGACUGUCGCUCAGGUGCGAAAGCGUGGGGAGCAAACAGGAUUAGAUACCCUCGUAGUC
rnacentral:rRNA from 1 species